rnacentral:rRNA from 1 species
GUUGACCUCGGAUCAGGUAGGAAUACCCGCUGAACUUAAGCAUAUCAAAAAAAGGAAAGAAAA